rnacentral:rRNA from 1 species
GCAAGUCGAACGAGAAGCAGGUGCUUGCACCUGUGGACAGUGGCGAACGGCUGAGUAACACGUAGGAACCUACCCCUUGGACCGGGAUAACAGAGGGAAACUUCUGCUAAUACCGGAUAUAUUCUUCGGAAGGAAAUGGUCCGCCGCCGAGGGAGGGGCCUGCGGCGUAUUAGCUUGAUGGUGAGGUAACGGCUCACCAUGGCUAUGAUACGUAGCUGGUCUGAGAGGACGAUC